rnacentral:lncRNA from 1 species
CGCUGGCCGGCCCGACGAAGCGGUGCGCUCUCGGCCCGUUGCCGCCCGGGCCUUUUGUGUGUGCUCCGUCAUGCCCCGUCAUUUCUCUACUCAUCUUUUUCUUGUUUCAUUUAUCAAUGUCGUGGCUGGCGCCGCUCACUUUUUGGAACCCACACACCGCGGCUACUGUCGCGCAAGUGCUUUCGUGCGAAAAGCAAGAACGACCAGAUUCAGGCUUUAAAAAAAAAGAGCGCAUCGCAUUUUUUGGCUCACCGGCGCUCGGUUCCAUUUUUCGAAAGUCGACGUCCAAACCAUGACCGCGCAGCCGCGACGACCCCGCGCUCAUUUUGCGACGAUCGCGGCAUCGGCGCUUGCGGUCGUUGUUGCGGCUUGCGUCCUGCCGGUAUCGGGUUGGCUCUUCAAGAAGGUACUGGUGCCGCCCAUGUCACUGUCCGCGAUUCUCGAUGGAUCGUGUGGGGUGUAAAACGUGGUCGCAUCGGACAAAACAGGCAUCGGUGCCACGCCCACGACAGCGUGCCGUUUGACCAACGAGACUAACAGCGUGGCCGUGCACAUCAUGGACGACCCGGCGUUGGACAAUAAAGCCCACACCCGUCACGCGAUCGCAAAGC